CGGCACACACUAGGGUCUCCGUCUCUCACACACACACACCACAAUGACGUCGUAAACAAUAGCACUAACCACCAUCGUCCGCAGCUCCCGCGUACAGAGGCCUCAGGCUCCCGGCUCCACGUGGACCGACCUCGCCCGGCAGCGCGGGGCCACCUCACCGCGAGCUCCUCCCGCAGCCCGGCCCGGGUCACCUCGACUCGCCAGGCUUAACUCAAUAACCACAACACCGGAAAAGGAAGCAAAGGUCGAAGUUCAUCCGCGGCCCUGAGGCCUGUGGGAAACGUAGUCCAACAACGAAAGAGCCCUGAAGCUCAAGCGGAGCCCGCUGGCCGCAGGGGCCGCACCACGCCCCAGACCCUGGAGUUUCCGGGUGCGCAGACCCUUGCCAUCAGCAGAGGCUGCCGCUGCGCGUCCCCUAGGCGCGGAAGAGGCGGCUGGUGGUCCCUGACGGCAAGGUGAAGUCGAGGCAGUAAUCGGGAACCCAGGUUUUAUACAUUACGAAUAAAGCUGGCACGUUUCCAUUUCUCCUGGGCAAAUAUUUAGAAGAAAAGUUGCUGGGUAAUUGGUGGAGACAAGGUUUCGCCACAUUGACUGGGCUGGUCUGGAACUCCUGAGCUCAAGCAACCGGCCCUCCUUGACCUCCCAAAGUGCUAGGAUUACAGAAGCACUGAGACCACAGAGGCAAGAGCUGGGGAAGGAAAACUGCCCAUGAGAUGAGAUGUGCCUCUCAGCUUCCAAAAUCGGGGAGGGUUGCAAAGGGAUGACACCAUCCACACCAGAACUGCAUGAAUGGCAUCAGGAAUGAUCAGAGACCAUAAAUUCCAGUGAGACCAAUAACACCAUUUCUGGUCCUGCAUGCUCUUCCAAACUUUGCCACUAACCCCUUCAAGAGGCUAGGUUAGAAAAGGCAACAGAACUUCAUCCUAAUCUCUCUCAAGAUGCCCCCCAUGGAAUCCAGCCAUCAUGCUGUGAGGAAUCCAAGCAGCUACAUAGAAAGGCCACAACUAGAUAUUCCAGCUGUAGUCAGCUGAAGCUCCAGCCAACAGCCAACAUCAACCACCACACGUGAAAACGAGCAAGCCUUCAGAUGAUUCCGACUCCCAACCUCCAAGCCACCUCAGCUGAAGCCAAGUAGAGCAGAGACUAGCUGUCCCCCAAUGCUCUAAUAUGCAGAUU
rnacentral:lncRNA from 1 species